rnacentral:lncRNA from 1 species
AGCUGCGUGCUAACAAAUCCAGAGAGUGAUCUCUACCCCUUUGCUCUUGUGAUUUCCUUGCGGGAUUACAUAGGCGGCGGCUUCAUCCGCUCCCAAUUGGUGCUCCUACUCCCUUCAAGGUAUUCCUUGAUUGAUUGUAGGCUGUGUUGGUUGGUUCCUUGAGAGUGUGGUUGGGCGAAUCCUCGAUUCAGGUUGCCGGUUAAAGACGGUGGUUGGCUUCGAGUUUUAUUUGCCAGGUUGCACUAGUUAUCGCUGCUUGCAGCAAGUUAUCCGGCUGUUCUUUAGCUAGUUAUCGGUGUUCAUCCUACGUCGUGAAGAUCGGGACAACGUGACGCAUCAUCUGGUAUCAAAGCUUUCGUUACCACGGUAGGAAUUUUAUCCCUAGCUACAUAUAUAUUUUGCUUCGUCCUAUCCACCAAAAAGCCAGAAAAAUAUAUUGUUUAGACCUUUGUUUCAAUCUGUUAUUUUAGUGAGUUCGGUUAAGUCGCAGUCCAUUAGAGUAUUUGUUUUAGUUGCUGAUAAUUUAUCCUUCGCGUGAUCUUUGUGCCUCUUUUAUAUCUAAAAAUCCCCACAAAAAAAAAUCUCUAUAGCCUAUAUCAUCCUUUGUGUUAACUUUGAUCCUAUCUAGCUACUGGUUGUUGUUUCAUUUCUGUCUUUAGUUGUGCAAGUAACAUAAUCUGAUCCCUGUUUUUAGUUCUAUAUAUAUAUAUAUAAAAGUGUGUCAAAAAAAAGAAAGAAAAGAAAGUGCAAAAAAAAAGUGAAGUGAAAAAAAAAGUUGAGAAAGGUUCAGAGAGAAAGUCCGAAAGAUUAGUUGGUUUAUGUGCACAAGUGCUGAAAGUUUCAUAUCAAGUUCUACAACCAGUUUGCUAUCUUUGUUUGGUGCAAAACUUUGGUUGGGUCUGAUUGCAACACUUGCAUCCCAGUCUACUCCUUGUUUGCAUCAAUUCUGAAAUUUCUUUGCGUGUGUGUGAUCUAUUUAUACACUUCGAAUCUUUUGAUCAGCACUAGGCAGAGAACUUCUAGUUUGGAUCGUUACUUAACUUUACAACAACUAGAAUUCAGAUUGCAUUCCUUGUGUAUUACUCCCCACCAAGCUCCACAUAAAAAACCAUCGUAAUCGGUACUCUCUGUUCUUGUAUUCACCUCGCCAUCACUUUCAGUUGCCACCACACAUUUGUUUUCCUUGUAAUCUGCAGCAGAGGAAUUCAUAAGAGCCUUGGUGGUUAGAGAGGUGAGUUGUGAGAGCCACCAAAUUUUCAUAUUCCACAAAUACAAAUUAUUUGUAUUCAGCUAACCUUACAGGAAGAUGGGUCGAGUGGACAUCAAAGAUCGUGUUACCAUAGCACAAUUUAACAAACUCCGACAAAGCAUGGAAGAAAAGCAAGAUAGGUUGACACAAGAUCUUCAGAAUCUUAUGACUGAAAUCAGAAGGCAUCGUCCACCUCAUGAUGGUGCAAGCAACCAUAGUGGAGAUAGAGAAGAUAGUGCUGGAAGAAGAGGAGGUCAGAGGAACCAGAGGGCUGCAUAUGGUAGAGGAAGAUGACAUAGUCCAAGAAAGGAUGAUGAAUGUGAAGAUGAGGCUGAUGACAACCGCUUCCAACUCAGUUUUGGUCGUCGAUGUAAUAGAAGAGGCAACCAUGAAGAAAGAUUUGGCAAACUGAAAUUUACCAUGCCAAAAUUUGCUGCUGAACCAUCCACGAGGAAUUUCUCUAGAGGAAGCAAAUCAAACACAAAGUUUGCUGCUGAACCAUCUACGGUGAAAGACUCAAGUAGAGGCUCACGAUCUACUUUUCAGGGUACUUUUAGUGGAAAGAACACUGCUGUCCCAAGUUCAAAACCAGCAGCAUCAACCGCUACUUUAGUGGGUUCUACUUCCAGGACUAGUGGAAUUCGGUACUUCAAGUGUGGAGGCCAUGGGCAUAUAAGUAAGGAGAGCCCCAAUAAUCAGGUGAUCAUUGUGAAUGAUGAUGGAGAAUUUGAAUCAGCUAGUGAAGAGGGAAUUGAGGAGGAAGCCCAUGGAGAUGAGGACCUUACUAGCUGUGAGUUUGAGCAAGGAGCUGCUCUUGAGAUGACUCAAAUUUUGAGUGUUCAGGCAAAUGAAGCUGAAAAUGGGCAGCAACACAAAUUAUUUCAAACUAGUGCAAAGGUGCAUGAUAAAGAGGUGAAGGUGAUUAUUGAUGGAGGGAGCUGCCAUAAUCUUGCUAGUCGUGAGAUGGCUGAUAAACUUGGCCUGAAGCUGCUACGACACCCUCAUCCAUAUCAUGUACAGUGGCUGAAUGAUUCGGGAGAUAUCAAGAUUGGAUAUAAAGUAAACAUUCCAUUCAAGAUUGGUGAAUAUGUUGACACAGUAGAGUGUGAUGUAGCGCCCAUGUCGGUGUGUCACUUGCUGCUUAGAAGGCCAUGGCAAUAUGAUCGAUAUAGCCAACAUUGUGGGAGAACAAAUCAGUUUACUAUCAAUCUAACGGGGAAGAAGUUUGUUCUCAAGCCUAUGACACCCCAACAAAUCAUGGCUGAACAUUUACAAAAGAAAUCUGAAAUUGUUCCAGUGAGUAGAGAGGAAGAAGAGCAAAAGAAAUUGAGUGCCAUCCACAAUUCGGUGAGUGAGUGCCACAAGCCAAAUUUGAUGGAGAAAAAGAAAGGAGAGGGAGAGAAUUUAGUCAUGCUAGCCACAAAAUCUGAAAUGAGAGAAGUGAGGAACAACCCCGAACAAGUGCUCUUUGUACUUGUAUACAAAGACAUUUUAAUUUCAGCUAACGACAUGACCUCUCUUCCUAGUGUUGUGUCUCAUCUUUUGCAGGACUAUGGAGAUGUCUUUCUAGAAGAAACACCCGCGGGACUACCUCCAGAGCAUCAAAUUGAUCUCAUUCCAGGGGCUGCACUACCUAAUCGACCACCAUACCGAACCAAUCUAGAAGAAACAAAGGAGAUACAAAGGCAAGUGCAAGAACUUCUUGAUAAAGGUUUUGUUCGUGAAAGUUUAAGUCCUUGUGUUGUUCCUGUAAUUUUAGUACCUAAGAAAGAUGGUUCUUGGAGAAUGUGUGCUGAUUGUAGAGCUAUAAAUAACAUCACUGUUCGCUAUCGCCAUCCUAUCCCACGUUUCGAUGACAUGCUUGAUGAAUUAAGUGGUUCCACCAUAUUCACUAAAAUUGAUUUGAGAAGUGGAUACCAUCAGAUAAGAAUGAAAACAGGGGAUGAAUGGAAAACUGCAUUUAAAACAAAAUUUGGGCUGUAUGAAUGGUUAGUUAUGCCUUUUGGUUUGACUAAUGCUCCUAGUACUUUCAUGAGAUUAAUGAACCAUGUCUUGAGAGCUUUCAUUGGAAAAUUUGUUGUUGUCUACUUUGAUGAUAUCUUAAUUUACAGCAAGUCUUUUGAGGAACAUGUGAAUCAUAUUCGGCAAGUCUUGGAAGAGCUUAGAAAGGAGAAAUUAUUUGCUAAUCUUGAGAAGUGCAGUUUUUGCACAGACCAUGUUGUGUUUCUUGGCUUUGUUGUUUCAGGAAAGGGCAUAGAAGUGGAUGAAAGCAAGGUGAAAGCCAUCAAGGAUUGGCCAACUCCAACAAAUGUAAGUCAAGUAAGAAGUUUUCAUGGCCUUGCUGGUUUUUAUAGGAGGUUUGUGAGAGAUUUCAGUACCAUCGCUGCUCCUUUGAAUGAAUUGACAAAGAAAGAUGUUGACUUUAAAUGGGAAAAAUCACAACAAAAUGCAUUUCAUGAAUUAAGGAAACGUUUGACUGAAACUUUUGAAAUAGAAUGUGAUGCUAGUGGAAUUGGGAUAGGAGGAGUUUUAAUGCAACAAAGAAAACCUGUAGCAUAUUUUAGUGAAAAACUAGGAGGUGCUCAACUGAAUUAUUCUGUGUAUGAUAAAGAAUUAUAUGCUUUGGUGCGUGUGCUUGAAACAUGGCAGCACUACUUAUGGCCAAAAGAAUUUGUUAUUCACUCUGAUCAUGAAGCUUUGAAGUACUUGAAAGGACAAGCAAAACUGAACCGUCGUCAUGCCAAAUGGGUUGAGUUCAUCGAAACAUUUCCAUACAUUGUGAAAUAUAAGAAAGGUAAGGACAAUGUUGUUGCUGAUGCUCUGUCACGAAAGAGUGUGUUGCUAAACCAACUUGAGGUAAAGGUUUUGGGACUUGAAAGUUUGAAAGAACUGUACAGUAAUGACCCUGAAUUUUCAAAACCAUAUAAUCAUUGUAAAAAUGGAAAAGGUUGGGAAAAGUAUCAUAUACAUGAUGGAUUUUUGUUUAGAGCUAACAAAAUCUGUGUUCCAAAUUCUUCGGUUAGAUUGCUUUUGUUGCAGGAGUCUCAUGGGGGAGGAUUGGCAGUCCAUUUUGGACAAAGGAAAACCUAUGAGCUGCUAGAAGAUCAUUUUUAUUGGCCCAAGUUGAGAAGAGAUGUCAUCAGAUUCGUAGAGCGAUGUGUUACCUAUCACAAAGCUAAGUCCAAACUGAACCCUCAUGGUUUAUAUACUCCUUUACCUACUCCUAAAACUCCUUGGGAAGACAUAAGCAUGGAUUUUGUCUUGGGGUUGCCUAGAACUCAGAAAGGAAAAGAUUCAAUUUUUGUUGUGGUUGAUAGAUUUUCAAAGAUGGCUCAUUUUAUUCAUUGUAACAAGAGCAACGAUGCUUCACAUAUUGCUAAUUUGUUCUUCAGGGAAAUUGUGCGCCUGCAUGGAAUGCGUAGAACCAUUGUAUCUGAUCGUGAUGUCAAGUUUGUGAGCUAUUUUUGGAAAACAUUAUGGGCAAAGCUCGGAACCAAGCUUUUGUUCUCCACCACUUGUCACCCUCAAACCGAUGGACAAACUGAAGUGGUGAAUCGCACAUUGUCAAUGUUGCUGCGUACUAUGGUGAAAAAGAACCUGAAGGUUUGGGAGGAAUGCUUGCCACAUGUGGAGUUUGCAUAUAACAGGGCAGUACACUCUACCACUAAUAUGUGUCCUUUUGAAAUUGUAUAUGGGUUCAAACUUAUUGCUCCGAUAGAUUUGUUGCCCCUUCCAUUACAGGAAAGAACCAAUAUGGAAGCCUCCAAGCGUGCUGCAUACAUCAAGAAGGUACACGAGAAGACCAAGGAAGCAAUUGAACUGAAGGCAGGACGCAAGGCUGCAAGUAUGAACAAACAUAGGAAGAAGGUGUUAUUUGAACCCGGGGACUUGGUGUGGCUACACUUGCGCAAGGAUCGCUUUCCUCAGCAGCGCAAAUCAACAUUGCUGCCACAAGGAGAUGGUCCAUUUCGUGUUCUUGAGAAGAUCAAUGACAAUGCAUACAAGAUUGAACUUCCUGCAAGUUAUGGCGUGAGCAACUCCUUCAAUGUUGCUGAUCUCUCACCAUUCACAAGUGAAGACACUUUAGAGUCGAGGACGACUCCUUUUCAAGGGGGGGAGGAUGAUAUGACCAUGCCACCAAGCAAGAUGUCACAAGCUCCAAGUCAAGCUACACCCACUCAAGUUUCACAUACACCGACACCAGCUCAAGUCAUCGAUGGACCGAUUACACGUAGUCGUGCAAAGAAGCUACAACAAGAGGUCCACGCGCUAAUUUCUGAGAUUCAUUUUAACAUUAAUGAUAAUUAUAUACUACCUAAGUCUUGUACCUUGAUUGUGCUCAGGUAUAUAGAAGAAGAGAAGGAAGAAUCGGACCAUAAAGAACGGACCAGUGCAAGUUCCAGAAGAAGUCAAAAACGGACCAGUGAAAGUCAAAAACGGACCAGUGCAAAGAAUCUUCAUAACUUUUUACUCACAAAAGCUAUGAAGGUCCAUGAGAACUUGUUGGAAAUCUUGAUGAGUCUCCUUUCCAAUGAAUCUAGUGGCGACCAGUUUGGAUACUCCAUAUUGCCUGCAGACCAGAAUUAGUACAGACUGCUCAGAAGGUCAAUAGUCUGUCGUGACAGAAUGUUGGUACAACUUGCCAAGUAAAACUGUACCAAUCUACAACGUUUCGUGCUGGUUCGCAUGCAUUUCUGGAAAGCCCUUUGAGUCUAGUUUCACACCCAAGAAACUGUUCAUCAUUUGGACUUCCCAAUAAAAGGUUAUGGUCAGUUUAUUGGAAACUGCUCUGGAGGCCAACAGUCACGCGAAGCCACUUCGGGAAUCCAUUUCGAGGGGACCUUUCACAUUGUCUUCCCUCAGAAACUCUAUUUCGUUUUCAUACCUAUCUAGCAGGGCUGUUGCUAGUAUAAAUACCCCCUAAGACUCAUUGUAAUCUCAGACUUUGAUAAUUGAAAUACAGAACCCCUUUGUUCAGCUGCGUGCUAACAAAUCCAGAGAUUGAUCUCUACCCCUUUGCUCUUGUGAUUUCCUCGCGGGAUUACAUAGGCGGCGGCUUCAUCCGCUCCCAAUUGGUGCUCCUACUCCCUUCAAGGUAUUCCUUGAUUGAUUGUAGGCUGUGUUGGUUGAUUCCUUGAGAGUGUGGUUGGGCGAAUCCUCGAUUCAGGUUGCUGGUUAAAGACGGUGGUUGGCUUCGAGUUUUAUUUGCCAGGUUGCACUAGUUAUCGCUGCUUGCAGCAAGUUAUCCGGCUGUUCUUCAGCUAGUUAUCGGUGUUCAUCCUACGUCGUGAAGAUCGGGACA